rnacentral:rRNA from 1 species
CGGAGUAAUGUCUGGGAAACUGCCUGAUGGAGGGGGGUAACUACUGGAAACGGUAGCUAAUACCGCAUAACGUCGCAAGACCAAAGUGGGGGACCUUCGGGCCUCAUGCCAUCAGAUGUGCCCAGAUGGGAUUAGCUAGUAGGUGGGGUAACGGCUCACCUAGGCGACGAUCCCUAGCUGGUCUGAGAGGAUGACCAGCCACACUGGAACUGAGACACGGUCCAG